rnacentral:ncRNA from 1 species
UUAGCUAUUUUAGAUGAGUUUGUAUUCAUGACACAUGGAUGCAAACAGCGCAAGUUUGUAUCUAUGAUGGCUAAGGGAAUUUGACUUGACUUACUCGCCACCGUAGAUUUCUUCUAUAGUGGCUUUUCUUUUACGCUUUGUUCG